CAGCAAUGCCCAGUGGCGCACGGGUGCGUAACGCGUAGGCAAUCUGCCUACACCUGGGGGAUAGCCCGCCGAAAGGUGGAUUAAUACCGCAUGACACUGUGGUCCGGCAUCGGAUGAUAGUUAAAGAAUUUCGGGUGUAGAUGAGCCUGCGUGCCAUUAGCUAGUUGGCGGGGUAAGGGCCCACCAAGGCGACGAUGGCUAGGGGAGCUGAGAGGCCGAUCCCCCACACUGGCACUGAGAUACGGGCCAGACUCCUACGGGAGGCAGCAGUAGGGAAUAUUGGGCAAUGGGCGAGAGCCUGACCCAGCCAUGCCGCGUGACGGAUGAAGGCCUUCUGGGUUGUAAACGUCUUUUGACCGGGAAGAAAAAGCCCCUGCGGGGGAAACCGACGGUACCGGUUGAAUAAGCACCGGCUAACUCCGUGCCAGCAGCCGCGGUAAUACGGAGGGUGCGAGCGUUGUCCGGAUUUAUUGGGUUUAAAGGGUGCGUAGGCGGCCCUGUAAGUCCGUGGUGAAAGCCUGCUGCUCAACAGCAGAACUGCCAUGGAUACUGCAGGGCUUGAGUCCAGACGAGGUUGGCGGAAUAGAUGGUGUAGCGGUGAAAUGCAUAGAUACCAUCUAGAACCCCGAUUGCGUAGGCAGCUGACUAGGCUGGUACUGACGCUGAGGCACGAAAGCGUGGGGAGCAACAGGAUUAGAUACCCUGGUAGUCCACGCCGUAAACGAUGGAUACUCGCUGUGAGCGAUAGA
rnacentral:rRNA from 1 species